rnacentral:lncRNA from 13 species
AUCAGACUGGAGCCACCAUACGCAGUGCCACGGAGGGCUUCACCUCCCCCUCAUCAGGGACCCAUCACCCUGGCGACGUUGGUGGUCACUGUGACAAGAACCUUCUCAUGCUUCCUGCAUGCGUAUUGGCUCAGCUGUGGUCACUGUGACGCGAAAACCUUUUCACCCUUCCUGCUUCCGCAUUGGCUAGGCUGACUUCGCUGCUGCGUUCAUGGAAGUCAGGCUGCGGCCGCUUUAAAAACAGAGGGCGGGGCCGGGCGCGGUGGCUCACGCCUGUAAUCCCAGCACUUUCUGAGGCCGAGGAGGGUGGAUCACGAGGUCAAGAGAUCGAGACCAUCCUGGUCGACAAGCUUCUUGGGAGGCUAAGACAGAAAAAUUGCUUGAACCCAGGAGGCAGAGGCUGCGGUGAUCGGAGAUUGCGCCAUUGCACUCCAGCCCAGGCAAGGUCUGGUCGGAGAGAGAGAGUCAAAUUACGUCGGUGCUGGGCCCAGCGAUUUGUCACAGUCCCCUUGGUCAGCAAGGCCCUGACAGAGUUUCACUCUUGUUGCCCAGACUACAGUGCAAUGGCAUGAUCUCAACUCACCUCAACCUCUGCCUCCUGGGUUCAAGUGAUUCUCCUGCCCAAGCCUCUCAAGUAGCUGGGAUUACAAGCAUGUACCAUCACACCUGCAUAUAAUAUUUGUAUUUUUAGUAGAGACAGGGUUUCAUCAUGUUGGCCAGAAUGAUCUCCAUCUCUUGAUCUCAUAGAUCCACCCCCUCGGCGUCCCAAAGUGCUGGGAUUACAGGCCUGAGCCACAGUGCC